rnacentral:rRNA from 1 species
UACAGAGGGGGCAAGCGUUGUUCGGAAUUACUGGGCGUAAAGGGCGCGUAGGCGGCCUUCUAAGUCGAACGUGAAAUCCCCGGGCUCAACCCGGGAACUGCGUCCGAGACUGGAAGGCUUGAAUCCGGGAGAGGGAUGUGGAAUUCCAGGUGUAGCGGUGAAAUGCGUAGAUAUCAGGAGGAACACCCGUGGCGAAAGCGGCUCUCUGGGACGGUACUGACGCUGAGACGCGAAAGCGUGGGGAGCAAACAGG